AUGCUCAAAAUUCUCCAAGCCACACUUCAGCAAUACGUGAACUGUGAACUUCCAGAUGUUCAAGCUGGUUUGAAAAAAGGCAGAGGAACCAGAUAUCAAAUUGCCAACAUCUGUUGGAUCAUGGAAAAAGCAAGAGAGUUCCAUAAAAACAUCUAUUUCUGCUUUAUUGACCAUGCCAAAGCCUUUGACUGUGUGGAUCACAAUAAACUGUGGAAAAUUCUGAAAGAGAUGGGAAUACCAAAGCACCUGACCUACCUCUUGAGAAACCUGUAUGCAGGUCAGGAAGCAACAGUUAGAAUUGGACAUGGACCAACAGACUGGUUCCAAAUAGGAAAAGGAGUACGUCAAGGCUGUAUAUCGUCCCCCUACUUAUUUAACUUCUAUGCAGAGUACAUCAUGAGAAACGCUGGGCUGGAGAAAGCACAAGCUGGAAUCAAGACGGCCAACAGAAAUAUCAAUAACCUCAGAUAUGUAGAUGAUAUCACCCUUAUGACAGAAAGCAAAGAACAAAAGGGCCUCUUGAUGAAAGUGAAAGAGGAGAGUGAAAAAGUUGGCUUAAAGCUCAACAUUCAGAAAACGAAGAUCAUGGCAUCUGGUCCCAUCACUUCAUGGGAAAUAGAUGGGGAAACAGUGGCAGACUUUAUUUUUCUGGGCUCCAAAAUCACUGCAGAUGGUGAUUGCAGCCAUGAAAUUAAAAGACGCUUACUCCUUGGAAGGAAAGUUAUGACCAACCAAGACAGCAUAUUCAAAAGCAGAGACGUUACUUUGCCAAUAAAGGUCCGUCUAAUCAAGGCUAUGGUUUUUCUGGUGGUCAUGUAUGGAUGCGAGAGUUGGACUAUAAAGAAAGCUGAGCGCCAAAGAAUUGAUGCUUUUGAACUGUGGUGUUGGAGAAGACUCUUGAGAGUCCCUUGGACUGCAAGGAGAUCCAACCAGUCCAUUCUAAAGGAGAUCAGUCCUGGGUGUUCAUUGGAAGGACUGAUGUUGAAGCUGAAACUCCAAUACUUUGGCCACCUGAUGCUAAGAGCUGACUCAUUUGAAAAGACCCUGAUGCUGGGAAAGAUUGAGGGCAGGGAAAGAUUGAUGCUGGGAAAGAAAGAAGGGGACGACCGAGGAUGA
rnacentral:lncRNA from 1 species